rnacentral:rRNA from 1 species
AUUGAACGCUGGCGGCAGGCCUAACACAUGCAAGUCGAGCGGAUGAAGGGAGCUUGCUCCUGGAUUCAGCGGCGGACGGGUGAGUAAUGCCUAGGAAUCUGCCUGGUAGUGGGGGAUAACGUCCGGACACGGGCGCUAAUACCGCAUACGUCCUGAUGGAGAAAGUGGGGGAUCUUCGGACCUCACGCUAUCAGAUGAGCCUAGGUCGGAUUAGCUAGUUGGUGGGGUAAAGGCCUACCAAGGCGACGAUCCGUAACUGGUCUGAGAGGAUGAUCAGUCACACUGGAACUGAGACACGGUCCAGACUCCUACGGGAGGCAGCAGUGGGGAAUAUUGGACAAUGGGCGAAAGCCUGAUCCAGCAAUGCCGCGUGUGUGAAGAAGGUCUUCGGAUUGUAAAGCACUUUAAGUUGGGAGGAAGGGCAGUAAGUUAAUACCUUGCUGUUUUGACGUUACCAACAGAAUAAGCACCGGCUAACUUCGUG